GGCGACUGUGAUGAUGAUAACAUUUUUUCUCAGCUCAUUAUGAGACCUUAUUUUUAAGGUCUAGAAAUAUACUCCGUUUCCAACACAUAUAUGUCUGAGCUUCACC
rfam:Nicotiana attenuata strain TT chromosome 2, whole genome shotgun sequence.